rnacentral:piRNA from 1 species
UGAUGUGAUAUCGGGACCUUGG